AUUUUCUUCUCCACAACUUCAGAUUUUGAACCACCUCAAGUCAAUCCGAUCAACCCUCAUCCUGGUGCUGAGGCUGUACUGAAGCAGCUCUCGGGGGAAGCGUUUGUGGAUAAGCAUAUGGCUGAUCUCAUUCAGAGGGUCAAGAUGGUGCUGCAUGUAGCAGAUGACCUGCUUGUGGAGGAGAUGAUACCAGAUUAAUUUUACUCAAGACUCCUUAUGGCUGGGACCAGUCAGGAACAAAUGAGACUAAUGUCGGAUGCUUUACAAGCAGGAGGAACAAGAGUGAAAUCUGCCUUCUACAAAGCUCUCCUUAACCAUGAACCUCGUCUUGUCCAGGACCUGGCAGCAGCUUCCCACUGAUGAAUGUGAUGACCUGGGUUGGUCCUCGACCGCUGGACAAAGGGCAGCAAGUGGUCCCUCUUCCAGAGCAGGAUGUCAGAAUACUACAGUCACUAUAAUCCCAAUCUGCAUCGGAGUGUUGGGAGAUAAGACUGACAGCAAGUCUAUGAUGAUUUAAAGUUAAAGAUGUUAUGGUCUUGUGUUUGUGCUAACAUUCCACUACUUGACACUUCUUGUCAUGCCAAACAGUCUGGCAUGACAAAAUCAAUCAAAA